CCUCCAGACUCCUACGGGAGGCAGCAGUGGGGAAUAUUGGACAAUGGGGGGAACCCUGAUCCAGCGACGCCGCGUGAGUGAAGAAGUAUUUCGGUAUGUAAAGCUCUAUCAGCAGGGAAGAAAGAAAUGACGGUACCUGACUAAGAAGCCCCGGCUAACUACGUGCCAGCAGCCGCGGUAAUACGUAGGGGGCAAGCGUUAUCCGGAUUUACUGGGUGUAAAGGGAGCGUAGACGGCGAUGCAAGUCUGAAGUGAAAGGCGGGGGCCCAACCCCCGGACUGCUUUGGAAACUGUAUGGCUGGAGUGCAGGAGAGGUAAGUGGAAUUCCUAGUGUAGCGGUGAAAUGCGUAGAUAUCAGGAGGAACACCGGCGGCGAAGGCGGCCUGCUGGACCGUGACUGACGUUGAGGCUCGAGAGCGUGGGGAGCAAACAGGAUUAGAUACCCCCGUAA
rnacentral:rRNA from 1 species